rnacentral:rRNA from 1 species
ACGGCGAGUGAAGCGGUAACAGCUCAAAUUUGAAAUCUGGCCUCACGGUCCGAGUUGUAAUUUGUAGAGGAUGCUUCGAGCAUGGUCUGGCCUAAGUUCCUUGGAACAGGACGUCAUAGAGGGUGAGAAUCCCGUAUGCGGCCAGGUGCCUACGCUCAUGUGAAGCUCCUUCGACGAGUCGAGUUGUUUGGGAAUGCAGCUCAAAAUGGGUGGUAAAUUUCAUCUAAAGCUAAAUAUUGGCCAGAGACCGAUAGCGCACAAGUAGAGUGAUCGAAAGAUGAAAAGCACUUUGGAAAGAGAGUUAAACAGUACGUGAAAUUGUUGAAAGGGAAGCGCUUGCAACCAGACUUGCGCGCGGCCGAUCAUCCGGUGUUCUCACCGGUGCACUCGGCCGUGCUCAGGCCAGCAUCGGUUUUGGCGGCUGGAUAAAGGCCCUAGGAAUGUAGCUCCUCUCGGGGAGUGUUAUAGCCUAGGGUGCAAUGCAGCCUGCUGGGACCGAGGACCGCGCUUCGGCUAGGAUGCUGGCGUAAUGGUUGUAAGCGGCCCGUCUUGAAACACGGACCAAGGAGUCUAACAUCUAUGCGAGUGUUUGGGUGUCAAACCCAUACGCGUAAUGAAAGUGAACGGAGGUGAGAACCCUUAAGGGUGCAUCAUCGACCGGUCCUGAAGUUUACGGAAGGAUCUGAGUAAGAGCAUAGCUGUUGGGACCCGAAAGAUGGUGAACUAUG